rnacentral:rRNA from 1 species
CUCGUUCCGUGUUGACAUCCAGAGAAUUUGCUAGAGAUAGCUUUGUGCCUUCGGGAACUCUGAGACAGGUGCUGCAUGGCUGUCGUCAGCUCGUGUUGUGAAAUGUUGGGUUAAGUCCCGCAACGAGCGCAACCCUUAUCCUUUGUUGCCAGCGAGUAAUGUCGGGAACUCAAAGGAGACUGCCGGUGACAAACCGGAGGAAGGUGGGGAUGACGUCAAGUCAUCAUGGCCCUUACGAGUAGGGCUACACACGUGCUACAAUGGCAUAUACAAAGAGAAGCGAACUCGCGAGAGCAAGCGGACCUCAUAAAGUAUGUCGUAGUCCGGAUUGGAGUCUGCAACUCGACUCCAUGAAGUCGGAAUCGCUAGUAAUCGUAGAUCAGAAUGCUACGGUGAAUACG